AAAUAUAUUAUCUAUCUAUACUGGUUGAAGGUGUGUAGUCUGCAGCUGCAAAAGAGGUAGCUCUGAUCUACUCAAACCUGUGGGCAUGAGAUGGAAAGACUGGUUUAAAGGUGAGAACUAAUAGCCUUGAAUCUCUAUGUUAAAUUUGAGGAAGAGUGUCCAAAGAAGAGCAAUGAAGCUGGUUAAAGGUCCUGAGAACAACUCUAGUGAGGAGCAGAAACCAGAGAGGUGCAGCCGGGCGGGCAGGAGGAGACCAAGCGGAGCUCUGGGUCAGGAACCCCCCCCAGCACGCAGCGGGACUUACCAUGCCGGGCGGUGCGAGGUCGGAGAGCGGCGAUGCUCAAGCGGGUGGCAGCGCUGGGUGACCGGAGGCCGGACCCGAGGAUGCCGCCCACACCCACGGCA